CCGGUUAAAACAAACAUUACGCAAUUCAAAAUUUUCUAAGAAUUGUUUUUUAAACAUGCUAUUUAAAGCGGGUCAUUUCUUAGUUUGUAAUGAUUCAUUCCCGCUAUAAAUUGUUUAUUUAGCAGUGUAAUUGUUCAUUUUUGAAAGAAUUGUUCGAGCGGAGGAGCUAUAAUUACCUACAAGUCUUCAAAAAAAGUAAGUCUAUAUAAAAGUAAACUUUUUAUAUUGUAUUGUACGAAUACAAAUACGAAUUUGUUUAUUAUAGUGACAUUGUGUAUAUAUAAUAAUAUUUGUCAUCAAUGUUUUUACAUCCGGCCCAUUGGAACUAUAAGUCCACAGGCACUUGUCUCAGAAUUUUUUUCCCCAAUAUACCUUAUGUUAUAUCAUGGUAUAUAGGGGGGAAAAAAUUCUGAGACAAGUGCCUUUGUAUAAGUCACUUAAAAAAUAUAAAUCUAAAAAUCAUUUCAUAGUAGAGUCCUGUAGUUCAAUUAUUCACAUAAAUGAAUUGUCUGCGUUUUGUAAAUGCUUGUAAAAUGUAUUUAGCUGUUCUUUUUGGAAAAUAAAUAUUAAAUACCAAUUGGAAUUUGUCUAUUUAGAUUUUUUCGGCUCUGAUUUUUCCUGAAUUUAAAAUUGCUGUUAAUAGACAUGUUACGAAAAGGUAUAUUCACGACACUGAGAUUGACAAAUUACACUUUAAAUGUGGGGAAUGUGUCAAAAUACAACAGAGAUUACCUGUGUAUACAUUAAAUAUUAUUUAAAAUCUGCAUUGAUCCUUUUGGAGGUAAUUCCGUAAUAUUUUUAAGAAACUCUACUCUAGACUCUACUGCAAUACAACUGCGGUUUGACCGCAAUGUAAAUGCAAUAGAUAUGCGGGACAACGGAGACACGGGGUACAUACGUGCACAUGUGUGAAUUCUUCGGCAAGCCCUUACUGAGAGCCCUUAUUAUAAUCUGUUUUAUACCAUCUCAUGAAUAUAUAUGUAACGGUCAUUUUUAUAUAGUUAUGAAAGCAAACAAAGGUGUGUGUAUUUAAAUCCAGUUGUUUGCCACGUAAAUUUAUACCUAACGGGGCCUGGUUUAAAACACCUAAAGUACGAUUUUUAAAUAAUUUCAACUUGAAACAUGUUGCAUUAUAGUUUUAGAAAAUUUACUCCCUGUCAUAAAGCUUUAAAUGCAUGUUUUUUUACCUUUAUUUCCUUUCAACUUUGUCUUAAUUUAAACAGUUUCAACUCAAUUUGUAUUUUCUUUAUAAGGGGUUUGUGAUUGAUUGAUUGUUGGUAGCUUAACAUCCCGUGCCAAAUAGUUCAUGCAUGUUCAUAACGAUAAGAGGUUUGUGUAAAAUAUGAGUCUCUUCUCAUCGGUUGAACAUCCCUGCAGCGUUUCAAAAGCAUUGCAUAAUGACUUUGAUUUUACACCUAAACACCACUUUAUGCAGAUAUUUUGCAUUUUUUAAAUUCCUGAAACGUUUUGUGGAAAUUCUCCAACCGUUUCAUAAGAAAAUGACAAUAGUAAAAUUAACACCGACGACUGAUGGGUCUUUCCUCUAUUGAAGAUAACAAUGCUACGGGUUUCUCUAAAAAAAUACUGUAAUGGCGUUUUUAUAUUAAAUCUGUUGAAUGUGUACCUAUUACUACUACUCUACGGAGGUACCAAUUAUUUUUUCAUGGAGGGGGAGUGGGUCUAGGAUUAAACUUGAAAAGGUAGGACAGGAGUUUUGAGUUUUAAAAAAAAGGCAGAAUGAGCAACUUGAACAAAAUAAAUAGGGAAGGAUGACAAUUAAUGUAAAAAAAAAAGGCAGGAUUAACUAAUAAAAAAAGUCCUGACAGAAUAAGGCAAGGAUUUGUAUAAUGAGAUCACUAUACAAAUCCUUGAAUAAGGCGAUAAAAAAGGCAGAACAUAUAUAUUACAAACAUGUUUAAGCCCGCCAUACUUUUCAUUAGCCUGUCCUACAUUUGGAAGUCAGGGGACUGUAGUUCAGUAGUUGUCGUUAGCUACUGUCUGUCAUAUUUGUUCUUCGUAAAUGGUUUUGUUAUAGAUUAUUUCCCUUUUUUGGGAUCUUUCAUAGCCGACUACUAGUAUACGGUAGAAAAUUGGCAUCAACUACGCGGUGGGGUGGCAUACAUUACCCACAGCGUUUGUUGCAAUCGACGGAACAUCUCAUGCCAUUUACAGACCACAGACGGAGUCUCAAGAACAAUUUUACUCGGGACACAGACACAGACAUUGCAUUCAUACACAGGUGAUUGUGGACAAUAAAAAUCAUACAAGAUUUAUUCGACGUGGUUUCCUAGGACACCAAAAUGAUGCCCAACAGUAUAAUCUAUUGCCUUUAAUUGGACCAGGUUUGGAGUUAGAUUUCCCCCAGAAUUUUGUCAUCUUAGCGGUUAAAAUUUAUCAAUAUCGAUCGCCCCUCGUUACCCCCUACAGACGCCAUUAACUAAGAGCUAAAAUGUAUCUAUGUCGAUCGCCCCUCGUUACCCCCUACAGACGCCAUCAACUAAGAGCUGAACCACGAGUAGAAAAAAUAAAAUGUAAAAAAAUGAAUUUGCGUAUAUCAGAGUUUCGAAUAUAUGUCGAACACACUUUAAGGCGCUUAAAAACUUUCAGUCAUUGGAAGCUUAUGGAGAGAAAUAAAACCAACAGACUGUAGACUUUUGUGCGGGAUUAGUGGAGCGACAGAUUGAUUUUUUUAAGAACCGUAAUACAACAAUAAAACUAAUUACUAAUUGGCUUAUUAUUUCUAAUAAUAUAUUAUCAAUUUAGAAUCGAAUGCACUUGUAUAACUCUCAGCCCCCCUUUUUUUUCUAGCCCACACACUACUGUACGCGUACACCUUUUUCGUCUUAUGAUAGCCAG
rnacentral:lncRNA from 1 species